rnacentral:rRNA from 1 species
AGUGGGGAAUAUUGGACAAUGGGGGCAACCCUGAUCCAGCCAUGCCGCGUGAGUGAUGAAGGCCCUAGGGUUGUAAAGCUCUUUCAGCGAGGAGGAUAAUGACGUUACUCGCAGAAGAAGCCCCGGCUAACUUCGUGCCAGCAGCCGCGGUAAUACGAAGGGGGCUAGCGUUGUUCGGAAUCACUGGGCGUAAAGCGCACGUAGGCGGACUUUUAAGUCAGGGGUGAAAUCCCGGGGCUCAACCUCGGAACUGCCUUUGAUACUGGAAGUCUUGAGUCCGAGAGAGGUGAGUGGAACUCCGAGUGUAGAGGUGAAAUUCGUAGAUAUUCGGAAGAACACCAGUGGCGAAGGCGGCUCACUGGCUCGGUACUGACGCUGAGGUGCGAAAGCGUGGGGAGCAAA